rnacentral:tRNA from 1 species
CAGCUCAUAAUUUAAUAAAAAUACUAAUUUUGGAAAUUAGAAAUAAGAAUAUCUUUGAGCUGA